rnacentral:rRNA from 1 species
GGGUUGUGAGGUUAAGCGACUAAGCGUACACGGUGGAUGCCCUGGCAGUCAGAGGCGAUGAAGGACGUGCUAAUCUGCGAAAAGCGUCGGUAAGGUGAUAUGAACCGUUAUAACCGGCGAUGUCCGAAUGGGGAAACCCAGUGCAAUUCGUUGCACUAUCGUUAACUGAAUACAUAGGUUAACGAGGCGAACCGGGGGAACUGAAACAUCUAAGUACCCCGAGGAAAAGAAAUCAACCGAGAUUCCCCCAGUAGCGGCGAGCGAACGGGGAGCAGCCCAGAGUCUGAAUCAGCUUGUGUGUUAGUGGAACGGUCUGGAAAGUCCGACGGUACAGGGUGAUAGUCCCGUACACCAAAAUGCACAGGCUGUGAACUCGAAGAGUAGGGCGGGACACGUGGUAUCCUGUCUGAAUAUGGGGGGACCAUCCUCCAAGGCUAAAUACUCCUGACUGACCGAUAGUGAACCAGUACCGUGAGGGAAAGGCGAAAAGAACCCCGGCGAGGGGAGUGAAAAAGAACCUGAAACCGUGUACGUACAAGCAGUGGGAGCACCUUCGGGUGUGACUGCGUACCUUUUGUAUAAUGGGUCAGCGACUUAUAUUCUGUAGCAAGGUUAACCGUAUAGGGGAGCCGCAGGGAAACCGAGUCUUAACUGGGCGUUAAGUUGCAGGGUAUAGACCCGAAACCCGGUGAUCUAGCCAUGGGCAGGUUGAAGGUUGGGUAACACUAACUGGAGGACCGAACCGACUAAUGUUGAAAAAUUAGCGGAUGACUUGUGGCUGGGGGUGAAAGGCCAAUCAAACCGGGAGAUAGCUGGUUCUCCCCGAAAGCUAUUUAGGUAGCGCCUCGUGAACUCAUCUUCGGGGGUAGAGCACUGUUUCGGCUAGGGGGUCAUCCCGACUUACCAACCCGAUGCAAACUACGAAUACCGAAGAAUGUUAUCACGGGAGACACACGGCGGGUGCUAACGUCCGUCGUGAAGAGGGAAACAACCCAGACCGCCAGCUAAGGUCCCAAAGUCAUGGUUAAGUGGGAAACGAUGUGGGAAGGCACAGACAGCCAGGAUGUUGGCUUAGAAGCAGCCAUCAUUUAAAGAAAGCGUAAUAGCUCACUGGUCGAGUCGGCCUGCGCGGAAGAUGUAACGGGGCUAAACCAUGCACCGAAGCUGCGGCAGCGACACUAUGUGUUGUUGGGUAGGGGAGCGUUCUGUAAGCCUGCGAAGGUGACCUGUGAGGGUUGCUGGAGGUAUCAGAAGUGCGAAUGCUGACAUAAGUAACGAUAAAGCGGGUGAAAAGCCCGCUCGCCGGAAGACCAAGGGUUCCUGUCCAACGUUAAUCGGGGCAGGGUGAGUCGACCCCUAAGGCGAGGCCGAAAGGCGUAGUCGAUGGGAAACAGGUUAAUAUUCCUGUACUUGGUGUUACUGCGAAGGGGGGACGGAGAAGGCUAUGUUAGCCGGGCGACGGUUGUCCCGGUUUAAGCAUGUAGGCUGGUUGUCCAGGCAAAUCCGGAUAAUCAAGGCUGAGGUGUGAUGACGAGGUACUACGGUGCUGAAGUAACAAAUGCCCUGCUUCCAGGAAAAGCCUCUAAGCAUCAGGUAACAUUAAAUCGUACCCCAAACCGACACAGGUGGUCAGGUAGAGAAUACCAAGGCGCUUGAGAGAACUCGGGUGAAGGAACUAGGCAAAAUGGUGCCGUAACUUCGGGAGAAGGCACGCUGGUGUGUAGGUGAAGUCCCUGCGGAUGGAGCUGAGACCAGUCGAAGAUACCAGCUGGCUGCAACUGUUUAUUAAAAACACAGCACUGUGCAAACACGAAAGUGGACGUAUACGGUGUGACGCCUGCCCGGUGCCGGAAGGUUAAUUGAUGGGGUUAUCCGUAAGGAGAAGCUCUUGAUCGAAGCCCCGGUAAACGGCGGCCGUAACUAUAACGGUCCUAAGGUAGCGAAAUUCCUUGUCGGGUAAGUUCCGACCUGCACGAAUGGCGUAAUGAUGGCCAGGCUGUCUCCACCCGAGACUCAGUGAAAUUGAACUCGCUGUGAAGAUGCAGUGUACCCGCGGCAAGACGGAAAGACCCCGUGAACCUUUACUAUAGCUUGACACUGAACAUUGAGCCUUGAUGUGUAGGAUAGGUGGGAGGCUUUGAAGCGUGGACGCCAGUCUGCGUGGAGCCAACCUUGAAAUACCACCCUUUAAUGUUUGAUGUUCUAACGUUGGCCCCUGACCGGGGUUGCGGACAGUGUCUGGUGGGUAGUUUGACUGGGGCGGUCUCCUCCCAAAGCGUAACGGAGGAGCACGAAGGUUAGCUAAUCCUGGUCGGACAUCAGGAGGUUAGUGCAAUGGCAUAAGCUAGCUUGACUGCGAGCGUGACGGCGCGAGCAGGUGCGAAAGCAGGUCAUAGUGAUCCGGUGGUUCUGAAUGGAAGGGCCAUCGCUCAACGGAUAAAAGGUACUCCGGGGAUAACAGGCUGAUACCGCCCAAGAGUUCAUAUCGACGGCGGUGUUUGGCACCUCGAUGUCGGCUCAUCACAUCCUGGGGCUGAAGUAGGUCCCAAGGGUAUGGCUGUUCGCCAUUUAAAGUGGUACGCGAGCUGGGUUUAGAACGUCGUGAGACAGUUCGGUCCCUAUCUGCCGUGGGCGCUGGAGAAUUGAGGGGGGCUGCUCCUAGUACGAGAGGACCGGAGUGGACGCAUCACUGGUGUUCGGGUUGUCAUGCCAAUGGCACUGCCCGGUAGCUAAAUGCGGAAGAGAUAAGUGCUGAAAGCAUCUAAGCACGAAACUUGCCCCGAGAUGAGUUCUCCCUGAGACUUUAAGUCUCCUGAAGGAACGUUGAAGACGAUGACGUUGAUAGGCCGGGUGUGUAAGCGCAGCGAUGCGUUGAGCUAACCGGUACUAAUGAACCGUGAGGCUUAACCUUACAACGCCGAAG